UACGGAGGAUGCAAGCGUUAUCCGGAAUGAUUGGGCGUAAAGCGUCUGCAGGUGGCUAUGUAAGUCUGCUGUUAAAGAGUCUGGCUCAACCAGAUAAAGGCAGUGGAAACUACAUGGCUAGAGUGCGUUCGGGGCAGAGGGAAUUCCUGGUGUAGCGGUGAAAUGCGUAGAGAUCAGGAAGAACACCGGUGGCGAAAGCGCUCUGCUAGGCCGCAACUGACACUGAGGGACGAAAGCUAGGGGAGCGAAUGGG
rnacentral:rRNA from 1 species